AUACGGAGGAUCCAAGCGUUAUCCGGAUUUAUUGGGUUUAAAGGGUGCGCAGGCGGAAGAUUAAGUCGGCGGUGAAAUUUUGUAGCUCAACUGUAAAAGUGCCAUCGAUACUGGUUUUCUUGAGUGUGGAUGAAGUAGGCGGAAUUUGUGGUGUAGCGGUGAAGUGCAUAGAUAUCACGAGGAACUCCGAUUGCGCAGGCAGCUUACUAGGCCAUAACUGACGCUCAGGCACGAAGGCGUGGGGAUCAAACAGGAUUAGAUACCCUGGUAGUCCACGCAGUAAACGAUGAUUACUCGCUGUUUGCGAUACACAGUAAGCGGCUUAGCGAAAGCGUUAAGUAAUCCACCUGGGGAGUACGUUCGCAAGAAUGAAACUCAAAUGAAUUGACGGGG
rnacentral:rRNA from 1 species